rnacentral:misc_RNA from 1 species
UAUUAUUAUUAAUAUGAUUAUUAACGUUAUUAUUGUGGAAUCGUGUUUGCUGUUUGAUGUUUUUUCUUCAGUGUGUUGGAGAGAGAGAGGUUUACAUAUGGCAAUGGCAUGUGAAUGUAAAUUAGAAGAAAUCUUUAUGGUUUUUGUGUCAUUUCGCUCAUUAUUUAUUUAUUUGGCUUGCAACUGGAAAUUUCAGUUGGAUGGUUAAGAAAAGUUGUGGGGUCCAUAUGUGGGGAAGGGAAAUGACAUGUGAUGUUUUGUUUUCUUCUGACAUUUGUCUUGGUUUUUUAACCUGAUAUCGCGAGGGCAAAAUAUCGCGAAAAAUUUACUUUUCCCUUGACAUGAUUGGCAUUAUAUCAUCGUCCAAUUAAACACUGCCACGUCUGCAGGCAUAAAAGGAAAGUAAAAGGCUGUAAAGUUGGUCAUGACGGGAAGAUUUGCGUGAGGAAAUUGUUUUAUGGUUUUUCGGGUUUUGGGUUUGUUGUAAUAUAAUAGUGGUAUUGGAAGAAGUGGUGAGGUGAGAUCUCGAG